UACGUAGGGCGCAAGCGUUGUCCGGAAUUAUUGGGCGUAAAGAGCUCGUAGGCGGCUUGUCACGUCGGGUGUGAAAGCCCGGGGCUUAACCCCGGGUCUGCAUUCGAUACGGGCAGGCUAGAGUGUGGUAGGGGAGAUCGGAAUUCCUGGUGUAGCGGUGAAAUGCGCAGAUAUCAGGAGGAACACCGGUGGCGAAGGCAGGUCUCUGGGCCGAUACUGACGCUGAGGAGCGAAAGCGUGGGGAGCGAACAGG
rnacentral:rRNA from 1 species